rnacentral:snRNA from 1 species
UCUGAUCAACGAAUGUUUAU